rnacentral:rRNA from 1 species
CAGCAGCCGCGGUAAUACCGGCGGCCCGAGUGGCGGUCACUAUUAUUGGGCUUAAAGCGUCCGUAGCCGGGCUGGGAAGUCCUCCGGGAAAUCUGGCCGCUUAACGGUCAGAAUGCCGGAGGAUACUCCCAGGCUAGGGAGCGGGAGAGGCCGAGGGGAUUCCCGGAGUAGGGGUGAAAUCCUAUAAUCCCGGGAGGACCACCUGUGGCGAAGGCGCUCGGCUGGAACGCGUCCGACGGUGAGGGACGAAGGCCAGGGGAGCAAACCGGAUUAGAUACCCGGGUAGUCCUGGCUGUAAACGAUGCGGACUUUGUGUCGGACAAGCUAUGAGCUUGUCCGGUGCCGGAGGGAAACCGUUAAGUCCGCCGCCUGGGGAGUACGGCCGCAAGGCUGAAACUUAAAGGAAUUGGCGGG